UGAAAAGUAGAGGAACAAAAUUGUUGAUCACUUUGUCCUCUGAAACUAUCUGUCUACCUGCGGACCUGUUGAGUAAACUGUCCUUGGGCCUCACUCUGAGAAACAUUUCACUGCCUUAAGAGAUAUCAAAUUCCUAAGAGAUGGGCUGUGGGGAAGAUGACUGAAGGACAGAUGGGUGUACAAAUCUGGAGGCUUGAGGGGAGACAGAGUGGACUCCGGCAUUUUCCGAGUCCUACAUUUCUUCCUCUGGCCUGGGAGUACGCAGCAAUGAUUAUGAUCUACCACCAGAGGGCACUGUGGCACUAGGGACGCCAGCCUUGGACCCCCUGGGUCUGGCGUUCCUAUUCUUCUCCACGUAUUCUUGACGGCUACCCAAAGAGCUUUCAGCUCUUUAACCACAUUAAUUUCGUUUCUUUCCUUACAUUCAGGGUUCUUAACUUAGGGACCAGUUGGUUGACCAGGGGCAAACACUUUUUAUAGGUUAUUUAAUACAAGCCUCAAACUACCUUGCAAGAUGUCUCCAUUUUACCAAUGAAGAGCCUGAAGUUCAAAGAGGCUAAAGAUUGCCCGGGUCACCCAGCUAGGAAGUGGUGAGGCUGGGGUUCAGCUCCUGGAGUGUCCAGCUCUACGCUGUUGCUGCACUGAGAACUGGCUAGGGGAGGCCUGUCCGAGGAAACAGCAUAUUAGCUCAAGGUGAAGCCGGGACUGUCUUCAGGGAGGGAGAGCCCGGCCUGGCUGGGCAGGGGGUGCAGUCAGCAGGGCUUUCUAGGCCAGGUCAGUAAUUCAGACUUUAUUCUAAGGGAAACAG
rnacentral:lncRNA from 1 species